ACUUUUUGCACGACAAAGAAUUGGUACGAUUGAGAUUGGAACGAUCAAGAUUUGUGGAGAACGGAGGUCCUUCAAGAGCGGAUGCGAUUGAAGAUCAACGAAAUCUUCUAAUUCUUGUAAUGUCUAAAUUAUUUUCUUUGAAUAAUAUGAGUGGCUAAACCCCCCAAUGCCAGGGGGUGUCCCUGAUUUGAUCGUGUAAUGACUAUGAAAAUGUAAUUCCCUCAAUAUUGUGUUUGUUAUUCAAUUUCAUUGUGCAAUGUUUUUAAUGCUUU
rnacentral:lncRNA from 1 species